rnacentral:rRNA from 1 species
UACAGAGGGUGCAAGCGUUAAUCGGAAUUACUGGGCGUAAAGCGUGCGUAGACGGUUGCGUAAGUCAGAUGUGAAAUCCCCGGGCUUAACCUGGGAACUGCAUUUGUGACUGCAUGGCUGGAGUGCGGCAGAGGGGGAUGGAAUUCCGCGUGUAGCAGUGAAAUGCGUAGAUAUGCGGAGGAACACCGAUGGCGAAGGCAAUCCCCUGGGCCUGCACUGACGCUCAUGCACGAAAGCGUGGGGAGCAAACAGG